rnacentral:miRNA from 1 species
ACCCACCUCUGUAGUAUACA